CAUUGAGCGAGAAAAUGAUUAUUGUCUGUGACGUGUUGCCGGUAUAUUUGUCCGAAACCAAGAACGUGUUGUCGGACCAUUUGGCCAAUAAUCUUUGGCAAAAGAGACACGCUGUGUUAUGUGUCCUGGAAAUACUUGCUCCAAAGUCACUUGCCAAACACUGUCAACUAGGUAGAUUAAUCACAGAACUCUCAUCAAGUGACAGUGUAAACGUACCUUGUGGUUCUGCUUGAGAGAACCCCAACGGUCCUUCUGCUCUUGCUGUCAAGGAAGCAGCCUGGGGUCUUGCUCGCUAUACUGCAAUUAGUCAGGACAAUGGAUUGGUCCCAAUUGUGGAGCCAGAGAUCUUGCUUGAUGGAGAACAUGGAAUUGACAGAACUUUUGAAGUAGCCCAAAAGGUUUGGGCUGAAGUUUUCUACUACCUUGCUGAGAAAAAUGUCCAAUUUGAGGGUAUUCUCCUCAAGCCUAGCAUGGUUACUCCAGGAGCUGAGUCUAAGGACAAAGCCUCUCCUAUAAAACUCGCCGAGUACAACCUCAAUCUCCCCCACACGAGAAUCCUCUCCUAUAAAUGGUAAUCUCUUUCAGUAUAGAUUUUUUCGAAACUACUACACAAGCGCGGAGUGUGGUAUGCUCUCUUGAAUUUCUACACCCAAUGUGUAUUGGAUUGAGUACCAUGUAGCUUAAAUCGAUAGACUUUGUUAUCAUGAUGCAUUUCUUGAUAGAA